rnacentral:rRNA from 1 species
AGGGCGCCACCAGGAGUGGAGCCUGCGGCUUAAUUUGACUCAACACGGGAAACCUCACCCGGCCCGGACACGGACAGGAUUGACAGAUCGAUAGCUCUUUCUCGAUUCCGUGGGUGGUGGUGCAUGGCCGUUCUUAGUUGGUGGAGCGAUUUGUCUGGUUAAUUCCGAUAACGAACGAGACUCUGGCAUGCUAACUAGUUACGCGACCCCCCGAGCGGUCGGCGUCCCCCAACUUCUUAGAGGGACAAGUGGCGUUCAGCCACCCGAGAUUGAGCAAUAACAGGUCUGUGAUGCCCUUAGAUGUCCGGGGCUGCACGCGCGCUACACUGACUGGCUCAGCGUGUGCCUACCCUACGCCGGCAGGCGCGGGUAACCCGUUGAACCCCAUUCGUGAUGGGGAUCGGGGAUUGCAAUUAUUCCCCAUGAACGAGGAAUUCCCAGUAAGUGCGGGUCAUAAGCUUGCGUUGAUUAAGUCCCUGCCCUUUGUACACACCGCCCGUCGCCACUACCGAUUGGAUG